rnacentral:rRNA from 1 species
UACGUAGGGUCCGAGCGUUGUCCGGAAUUACUGGGCGUAAAGAGCUCGUAGGUGGUUUGUCGCGUUGUUCGUGAAAACUCACAGCUCAACUGUGGGCGUGCGGGCGAUACGGGCAGACUAGAGUACUGCAGGGGAGACUGGAAUUCCUGGUGUAGCGGUGGAAUGCGCAGAUAUCAGGAGGAACACCGGUGGCGAAGGCGGGUCUCUGGGCAGUAACUGACGCUGAGGAGCGAAAGCGUGGGGAGCGGACAGG